CCAAGUACAGUGGUGCCCCGCAAGACGAACGCCUCGCAAGACGAAAAACUCGCAAGACGAAAGGUUUUUUCGUUUUCGAGUUGCUUCGCAAGACGAAUGUCCCUAUGGGCUUGCUUCGCAAGACGAAAACGUCUUGCAAGUUUGUUUCCUUUUUCGUAAAACCGUUAAAACCCAGGGUGCAUUGCUGGAAGAGGUGCAGUUGCGACUUGACCUCGAGGAGCAACACAUUGCACGCGGUGUGGUGGCCUUUCUGAGCUUUUUAAAGAGUUUGCUGGAUUUUUGAAGCUUUUCCAAAACUUCUUCUACAGCUGUUUGGUAAGUUGAACUUUUAAAACUUUUUUUUGGGUUUUGGGGAUUUUGGGUUGGGGUGUUUAGAAUUCAAGGACUUGGUGUUGGGGAGAGGUUUGCAAGAAUCUGGGAGCUUGUGUGGUUUUUUUCUGCAUUUUUAUGAUUUUCUGUGACCAUUGGGCCAUGUUUAUUUUUUUUAAAAAAAAAAAUCUGGCUUUGAAUUUUUGAAUUUCUGUGUGCUGGGUGGAUGGGGGAACAGCUGGGGAGGUGUUUGCAAGAAUCUGGGAGCUUGUGUGCUUUUUUUUGAAUUUUUAUGAUUUUUUUGUGACCAUUGGGCCAUGUUGUUUUUUUUUGAAAAAAGUUUCUGGGUUUUAAAUUUCUGUGUGCUGGGUGGAUGGGGGAACAGCUGGGGAGGUGUUUGCAAGAAUCUGGGAGCUUGUGUGCUUUUUUUUGAAUUUUUAUGAUUUUUUUGUGACCAUUGGGCCAUGUUGUUUUUUUUAAAAAAGUUUCUGGGUUUUAAAUUUCUGUGUGCUGGGUGGCUGGGGAACAGCUGAGGAGGGGUUUGCAAGAAUCUGGGAGCUUGUGUGCUUUUUUUGAAUUUUUAUGGUUUUUUGUGACCAUUGGGCAAUGUUGUUUUUUUUUGAAAAAUGUUUCUGGGUUUUAAAUUUCUGUGUGCGGGGUGUCUGGGGGAACAGCUGGGGAGGUGUUUGCAAGAAUCUGGGAGCUUGUGUGCUUUUUUUUUAAUUUUUAUGAUUUUUGUGACCAUUGGGCCAUGUUGUUGUUUUUUGAAAAAGUUUCUGGGUUUUAAAUUUCUGUGUGCUGGGUGGCUGGGGGAACAGCUGUGGAGGUGUUUGCAAGAAUCUGGGAGCUUGUGUGCUUUUUUGAAUUUUUAUGAUUUUUGUGACCAUUGGGCCAUGUUGUUUUUUUUGAAAAAGUUUCUGGGUUUUAAAUUUCUGUGUGGUGGGUGGUUGGGGGUAACAGCUGGGGUGGUGUUUGCAAGUAUCUGGGUGCUUUUGUGGGUUUUUUUGAAUUUUUAUGCUUUUUUUGUGACCAUUGGGCCAUGUUGUUUUUUUUUGAAAAUAUUUUCUGGGUUUUAAAUUUCUGUGUGCUGGGUGGCUGGGGGAACAGCUGAGGAGGGGUUUGCAAGAAUCUGGGAGCUUGUGUGCUUUUUUUUGAAUUUUUAUGAUUUUUUUGUGACCAUUGGGCCAUGUUGUUUUUUUUUUGAAAAAAGUUUCUGGGUUUUAAAUUUCUGUGUGCUGGGUGGAUGGGGGAACAGCUGGGGAGGUGUUUGCAAGAAUCUGGGAGCUUGUGUGCUUUUUUUUGAAUUUUUAUGAUUUUUUGUGACCAUUGGGCCAUGUUGUU
rnacentral:lncRNA from 1 species